CGACUACGGUCGGUUGCGCAAACACUUGCUAAACGAUCUUUUCCAAGAACGCCGAAUUUUUACAUGAGAAUCGUUUAAGCCUGAAACAAGUUUAUAUUGUCGUCACACUCCAAUCAAACAUUGCCAAUACACACGUGCGUCCAUCCACGACGUCGUCGUCGUCGUUUCACAAAGUUGGAGCGACAGUUCGGUUCUAGAAACGCAAAAUUAGCCAGACGUUUUAGCUAUCACAAAGACACAAUAGAAUUCGUUGUUUCCGGAAUGUGGCAUGUGGCUGGAAGACUCGAUGAUUUUCCGAAACAACGAAUUUCCAUACGAGGAGUACCUGCUCUCCGGUUCUAAGUGGUCGCCAUUUGAUGACGGUUAUUACCAUGAUGCGCUGUUUCCUGCGACCCCGUGCGUUUCCUUAUUAUAUAAUAUACUCGUUUACACAGAAUAUUAUUGUCCGCAAAUACAUCAUUACUGUCGGAAACCAUCGAGCCAUUACGAGCGCCUUGCGUGAUGCGCAAAGAAGAUUUUUCAGUCGUAAUUUCGAGCCUGUUGAAUCUCAUCGGAAUGUGGGAAUGAGAAAAAAUAAAAAUUUCACACAGUGAAAGUUUUCAGUAAUCUGACUGCGGCGUCCAUCCAUGGCUGAGACAGGUACAGGUCGUUCCUGGAGCAUCACGGAGGCUGUAGGUAAUAAUAUAAUUCGAUUGGAGGAACGAGCAAGCGAGUGAGCGAACGAGCGAGCCAAUAAGAGGCUCCCUUUAAUCGGGUUACUUCGUUACUGCGUUACUCCGUUACUCUCCGAGGUGAUAUCAGCGGAAUAUCAAUUAUAGUGAUUAACCAAGACGCCGAGGUUGGGUGCAAACUUCUGGAAUCCCUUGAGGACCGAGAGUGAGCGAACGGAAGGUGGAAAUUGGCGAAUGAGUGAGAAGGACGGAAGAAAAGUUGUAAGAAAGCCUAUAAACAUAGAGAAAGAGUGAGAGAGAAGAGACGAUCGAGUGGUACGAGAAGGGUAUGGAGGUACAAAGAGAGAAUAAGGAAGAUAAGGAUAGAAAGUAAAAAGACGAAGAGAAUCGAGAGCGAAAAACAUCUUUUGUCUGUCGCAAAUUAGCGACGGAUAUUCAAAUAGUCUCUGUUGCCGCCAAGAAUUUCAAUGACUUCAAAGGUGUCGGCGUCAGUGAAAAAAAGAAAUAGGAUUUUCGUGCAACAAAGAAAAUCGCGUAAAUUUUAAUCAAUGGCGACGAAUAGAAUUCGCGACGAUUUUGAUGUGAUUUUUAUUUUUGAAAAUUUUUGAAAUCACACCAAAAGGGUUCCCGCCAAUUUGUUACGGUCACGUGACUCCAUUUUCUAUUAGCCCUCGGGGCCUUCUUCGUUCUAUUAUAAUGCGAAAUCGGAUGCCUCGGGGCCUUAAGGCCACCUAGUGUCCCCAUAGCUGCUCCAGCUGUCCAUCCACGAGCAUUGUGCCCAAUUAAGGUUAACCAACCGUAAACGCUCAGAGUCUAAUUGACAAAUUCAAUUUGAUCACGACAAUACCUACGCCCAAUGAUUAUCGUUCCAAUGACGAUCGUCAAUUCGGAGCUUUCCAAAAAUUAUCCAAAAAUCCGUCUUAUACCUACAGAAUUCGCCACGGACGUCGAUUAUACCAUAUAAAAUCACUGUAUGAUAUUACCAACCGGGUAUACGAAGUAUAGGAAAUGAUUAUCCUUUGAAUAAACCAGUAGACCCACAAUAACGAAAA